rnacentral:rRNA from 1 species
UACGAGUGCCUCAAGCGUUAUCCGGAAUCAUUGGGCGUAAAGGAUGUGUAGGUGGUAGUGUUAGUCUUUUGUUAAAUUCUUCGGCUUAACCGGGGGCAUGCAAAGGAAACGGCACAACUAGAGGAUGCGAGGGGUCUGCGGAACUCAUAGUGUAGCGGUGAAAUGCGUUGAUAUUAUGGGGAACACCAAAAGCGAAGGCAGCAGACUGGAGCACUCCUGACACUGAAACAUGAAAGCGUGGGUCGCGAAUGGG